AGUGAACGCUGGCGGUAGGCCUAACACAUGCAAGUCGAACGGCAGCACAGUAAGAGCUUGCUCUUACGGGUGGCGAGUGGCGGACGGGUGAGGAAUACAUCGGAAUCUACUUUUUCGUGGGGGAUAACGUAGGGAAACUUACGCUAAUACCGCAUACGACCUACGGGUGAAGGCAGGGGAUCUUCGGACCUUGCGCGAUUGAAUGAGCCGAUGUCGGAUUAGCUAGUUGGCGGGGUAAAGGCCCACCAAGGCGACGAUCCGUAGCUGGUCUGAGAGGAUGGUCAGCCACCCUGGAACUGAGACACGGUCCAGACUCCUACGGGAGGCAGCAGUGGGGAAUAUUGGACAAUGGGCGCAAGCCUGAUCCAGCCAUACCGCGUGGGUGAAGAAGGCCUUCGGGUUGUAAAGCCCUUUUGUUGGGAAAGAAAAGCAGCAGGUUAAUACCCCGCUGUUCUGACGGUACCCAAAGAAUAAGCACCGGCUAACUUCGUG
rnacentral:rRNA from 1 species